rnacentral:rRNA from 1 species
CCUACGGGAUGCAGCAGUGAGGAAUAUUGGUCAAUGGACGCAAGUCUGAACCAGCCAUGCCGCGUGCAGGAAGACGACUCUAUGAGUUGUAAACUGCUUUUGUACGAGGGUAAACGCAGAUACGCGUAUCUGUCUGAAAGUAUCGUACGAAUAAGGAUCGGCUAACUCCGUGCCAGCCGCCGCGGUAAUACGGAGGAUUCAAGCGUUAUCCGGAUUUAUUGGGUUUAAAGGGUGCGUAGGCGGUCGGAUAAGUUAGAGGUGAAAUCCCGAGGCUCAACUUCGGAAUUGCCUCUGAUACUGUUCGGCUAGAGAGUAGUUGCGGUAGGCGGAAUGUAUGGUGUAGCGGUGAAAUGCUUAGAGAUCAUACAGAACACCGAUUGCGAAGGCAGCUUACCAAGCUACUUCUGACGUUGAGGCACGAAAGCGUGGGGAGCAAACAGGAUUAGAUACCCCAGUAGUC